rnacentral:misc_RNA from 1 species
AACGCACAUUGCGCCUCUUGGUUUUCCUUGGGGCAUACCUGUUCGAGCGCCGUUUAACUUCAUAAGGCCCUGCCUUGCGUUGAUGGAGCUCCUCGUUGGCGAGGAGCCCGUCCAAACUCGUGGGCGCCGCCACGGCCCUUAUCGCAGCGAAAAUGCGAAGUAAGGGAUCGAUGGCGACAGCCGAAGUCCACCGAUCGCAUGACCUCGGAUCAGGUAGGAAUACCCGCUGAACUUAA